rnacentral:rRNA from 1 species
AUACGUAGGGGGCGAGCGUUGUCCGGAAUGAUUGGGCGUAAAGGGCGCGUAGGCGGCCUGUUAAGUCUGGAGUGAAAGUCCUGUUUUUAAGAUGGGAAUUGCUUUGGAUACUGUCGGGCUUGAGUGCAGGAGAGGGAAGUGGAAUUCCCAGUGUAGCGGUGAAAUGCGUAGAGAUUGGGAGGAACACCAGUGGCGAAGGCGACUUACUGGACUGUAACUGACGCUGAGGCGCGAAAGUGUGGGGAGCAAACAGGAUUAGAUACCCUGGUAGUCCACACUGUAAACGAUGAAUGCUAGGUGUAGGGGGUAUCGACCCCUUCUGUGCCGCAGUCAACACAAUAAGCAUUCCGCCUGGGGAGUACGGCCGCAAGGUUGAAACUCAAAUGAAUUGACGGGG